ACUUUUGAUAUUGAUUAAGCUCAUGAACUCUCCCAACUUUUGUAUUUUGAAUAUGCUCAUGCCCUAUCUUAUGUCUCCUCUAUGAACCACUUUUUUAAAAAAUUAUUUUCAUUAUGAUACUAAUGUAUAAGCAGAAGUAAAUUUCUUUAAUAUUUUUGCAACCAGGAUGUGGCAACCUAGGUGAUUCUUGGAUUGGUUAUUUGCACAUUUUUCCGAGUUUGCUUGUUGUUUUUCUCUUUGUUCCAACAAUUCCCACAUGAGAACAAUGUAAUUUUAACAAAGAAAGAUACCACUGAAGUACAACAAAACAUGAAUUCCAAUAUACUAGAGAACUUUUAUUUUUUGGCCUUUCAUAUAUUAGAGUUAUGUUUUUGUUAUCUUAUAGUGGCAUAUUUACAUUUUAACUAAAUGAGAAUAUACUCAUUAGAGAAUUAUUAAUAAGAGAGUAGUAGACAAAUGAUACUCGACUAUGUUGUUUCAGUAUUAAUGACACAUUCAAUCCAGUGAUGAUCGGGAGCCAACUCUAACCCCACAUGAAAGCAAACAAAAGUUGAAAUACUUUGGCUAAUACCUUUAAAGUUUGAAUUAAUAAUAAAAUUGUCCUAGAAAACUGCCUUAAUGAAAUUAAAGUGAGAUUUAUUGAUAGGGUGCAUAAAUAUCAUUUUUCAGAAAAAAAAAAUAUAGUCAAAGUAUGAAAGCUUUGUUCUGCAAGUGGUUGCAAUUGCUGUACAUUAAUAUCAAAGAUACGUUAAGUACAUACCAAAUUCUAUUGUAAAAUUUAUAAAUUUAUAAGUAGAAGAUUUUAUAAAUUAAUUCUGGGUAAAUCCUCGGUUGUAUGAAUAAAUGGAGUAGGGAAAGCUGUAAUAAUUAUCGUAAUUACUGUAAGAAGCUAGCUCAUCAUCGAGUUGUAAGAUUUUCAAUUUUCUUGAACACGCUUUGACGUGCGAUAGCAAAAAAUUCUGUCUAUGAGCAAUCGGCCGUGCAACAUCUUAAUACUCCAUUGACUUUGUAAUUAAUUGAUGAGCUUUUUCUAAUUCUAUGUACCAAAUGGAGAUAUUUAGUGGGCGACCGCCAACCCUCGCUUAGCAAAAUAAAGGAAAGAAGAACGUGAAAUUUAUAAAUGUUACUUUUUGUUUAGAUGAAUAAUUUUGAUAUAAUGUUUCAGUUUCAGAUAUUGUUAACUAUAUCUAAUCAUAAGUAAUAAAAAAUAGGGAGAUUGUCAAUUUCUCCCCCUACAGUAAUCAACAUAUACUAUUUCCCCCCCUAUUAUUUUUAUAAUGGCCAAAAAUCUCCUUGAUAGCAUAAGUUUAUAAUAUUACCCUUAUUUUCAACUACUCUUUUAUUU
rnacentral:lncRNA from 1 species